rnacentral:rRNA from 1 species
AGUGAACGCUGGCGGUAGGCCUAACACAUGCAAGUCGAACGGCAGCACAGUAAGAGCUUGCUCUUACGGGUGGCGAGUGGCGGACGGGUGAGGAAUACAUCGGAAUCUACUUUUUCGGGGGGGAUAACGUAGAGAAACUUACGCUAAUACCGCAUACGACCUACGGGUGAAAGCAGGGGAUCUUCGGACCUUGCGCGAUUGAAUGAGCCGAUGUCGGAUUAGCUAGUUGGCGGGGUAAAGGCCCACCAAGGCGACGAUCCGUAGCUGGUCUGAGAGGAUGAUCAGCCACACUGGAACUGAGACACGGUCCAGACUCCUACGGGAGGCAGCAGCGGGGAAUAUUGGACAAUGGGCGCAAGCCUGAUCCAGCCAUACCGCGUGGGUGAAGAAGGCCUUCGGGUUGUAAAGCCCUUUUGUUGGGAAAGAAAAGCAGCAGGUUAAUACCCCGCUGUUCUGACGGUACCCAAAGAAUAAGCACCGGCUAACUUCGUG